rnacentral:rRNA from 1 species
UACGAAGGGGGCUAGCGUUGUUCGGAAUUACUGGGCGUAAAGCGCAUGUAGGCGGCGAUUUAAGUCGGGGGUGAAAUCCCAGGGCUCAACCCUGGAACUGCCUUCGAUACUAUUUUGCUAGAGUAUGGAAGAGGUUGGUGGAACUGCAAGUGUAGAGGUGAAAUUCGUAGAUAUUCGGUGGAACACCAGUGGCGAGGCGACUCGCUGGACUGAUACUGACGCUGAGGUGCGAAAGCGUGGGGAGCAAACAGG